rnacentral:rRNA from 1 species
GACAGAGGAUGCAAGCGUUAUCCGGAAUGAUUGGGCGUAAAGCGUCUGUAGGUGGCUUUUUAAGUCCGCCGUCAAAUCCCAGGGCUCAACCCUGGACAGGCGGUGGAAACUACCAAGCUGGAGUACGGUAGGGGCAGAGGGAAUUUCCGGUGGGGCGGUGAAAUGCGUAGAGAUCCGGAGGAACACCAAAGGCGAAAGCACUCUGCUGGGCCGACACUGACACUGAGAGACGAAAGCUAGGGGAGCGAAUGGG